GACGAACGCUGGCGGCGUGCUUAACACAUGCAAGUCGAGGGAGGCCGACCUUCGGGUCGAGUCGACCGGCGGACGGGUGAGUAACACGUGACCAACCUACCUUCGGGAGGGGGAUAACCUGGGGAAACCCGGGCUAAUACCGCAUGAAGCACCAUGGUCGCAUGACCGAGGUGUGAAAGGGGGCCUCUGCUUGCAAGCUCCUGCCUGAAGAGGGGGUCGCGACGUAUCAGCUCGUUGGUAGGGUAACGGCCUACCAAGGCUACGACGCGUAGUGGGUCUGAGAGGACGACCCGCCACAUUGGGACUGAGAUACGGCCCAGACUCCUACGGGAGGCAG
rnacentral:rRNA from 1 species